rnacentral:lncRNA from 1 species
GGCAGAGUGCACCAUCCACACACACUCAAAAUCAAGUCACAUUAUUAUUAUUUUUUAUCAGGUCACAUUAUUAAGUCACUGGGCAAUCCAUAGUGACUAGGACACUCUCAGUCUUCUCUCUGGCUUCCUGUUUGCCACAGCUGCAGGGUGGUGGUAGGGAGCUGAAUCUCAGUAAGAAUAUAGCGCUUGCCUCCCCUCUCAUUCUCAGCCCUCCUCCUGGGUUUCAUUUCAUUGAAGGUUGUGAAGUGUGCAGGGUGUAAGGGGUCCGGAGGGAUCUGCCCUCAGGGAUGGACCUUAAGACAUGAGCUUUCAUUCUUCUUUUCUGAGCUUUUCACUGUUUUUCUUCACCUCCUGCCCCCAAGAACAACUACCAAAAACUCUGGUAGUGAUGAACCCAUCAAGAAAAAAAGAUGCUCUGAAGAUGGCCUCACCAAUCAGGCACCUGUCUGCCCUGAGCGUAAGGCGGUCGAUCUAUCAAGUUGGACUCCCCCACCUCGUCUCCGGCAUGCAGCGCAUUUCAGGGAGCAAACUGCUUGCUUGUUUGAGUCUCAGAUCAUCUUUAGCUAUUGAUAGAAACUGGAACCAAAUUGGUCGAUGUUCUCCACUUCUUUCCCAGUAGGAAUCUUGCUUUCGAUUCAAGUUGUCAAUCAUUUCUCAAAACCUACUCUUUAUUUAUACAUCUGUUUAUUUAUAGCCCAUCUUGUCGCACAGAAGUCGAGGUAAAUUAAAGGAAACGUAAAAUAGUAAAA